rnacentral:tRNA from 1 species
CGGGGUGUAGCGCAGUUGGCUAGCGUACUUGAUUUGGGAUCAAGGGGUCGAGGGUUCGAGUCCCCCCACCCCGACCA